rnacentral:rRNA from 1 species
AUGCGCUCUUCAUUGGCCAUCGACCAAGCUGGUUCAUCUCUUGGUCGGCCUCUUGUCAUUGACAUGGAGGCUACCCGCAAGACUGUCUGCGGGCUCCUGGUGGUGGGGCGCCUCCUGUCCCCUUUCCAGGUCAACCCGAGAUUCAUAGUCGACGACCUCCGGAGCACAGCUUGGAAGAACCAGGGUGUGGUCACCAUCCAGGAGGUGGCCAGCAAAGACGGGAGGUUCAUCCUCAAUUUUGCCGCUGAGAGUGACCGUCGGUUUGUGCUUGAGGAGCAGCCAUGGCACUUCAAGCGGGACGGCCUCAUCUUCGCCGAGUUCGACGGCAAGGGCGACCCUGCGGAGGUCGACCUUGGCGUCAUGACCAUAUGGGUUAAGGUACGAAAUCUCCCGUUCGAGUUUAAGAUGGAGAGUGUAGGGUGGUCUCUCGAGGAUCAACUGGGAGAGGUGCUGGAGGUUUCGCACCGUAACCAUGUAAUUGUUGAGAAAUACAUGUGUGUGCAUGUGAAGAUAUUAUUGCAUGAGCCUCUGAAAUGCUCUGUAGAGAUUACCCCUUUAGGUAGUUCAAAGAUCUUUAAAUAUGAUGUAAAGUAUGAGAAACUACCUUUGUACUAUGAGUGUUGUGGGAUAGUGUGUCAUACAUCAGAGGUUUUGUAA